rnacentral:lncRNA from 1 species
UCCGCUCAAAAUUUUCCGCUUCCGAGAGCUUGGUAAUAUCCCAUAAUACCCCCGAGUCACUAAUCGAAGCACCCAAAGAUUUUCCGGGCAAAGCCUCUAAUUACGACAUUUUAAAUUUUUGGUUCUUUGAGACACAACCCACACCAAAACCAUUUUUACCCCAUUUUUACCCAAAUCUUUUUGCAUGGUAAUUCGCCCUAGGCCACAAUCGUGCCUCCCCCAAAGCCUUAACAAUUUUUUAAAACUCCUCCUCACUUUUCAAAAUUUUCCUCAUGGCAAAAGUUUUGAAAACUAGGCCAACACUCAAAUUUUUUUAGAAUGCCACAUCCUAGCAAUCCUCUAUUAGUUCACAAAGCCAUUACAUUGAUCAAUUGAACCACUUAGCAUCAAAACAAAAGUUUCUAAGAAAAUAUGUUCAUUAUGCCUCAAGAACACACACCAAAAAAUUAUUUUUCUUGUAUCACCAAACCAAGACCAUAAUCCAAUAUCCAUUUUUCCACAAAGCUCAAAUACAACCUCAAAAAUAAAAGCACAACAAAAUUUCACAAAGUUAUGACCAUUUCAAAAUUAUUUCUUCAAAACCUAACAAAAUUUUGUGAAACUUUCAAUCACCAUGAGAAUCCAAAC